UCAUCACAUUCGGCUGGUGUCCUUGCCA
rnacentral:piRNA from 1 species